GAUGAACGCUGGCGGCGUGCUUAACACAUGCAAGUCGAACGGGAAACCUUUUUAUUGAAGCUUCGGCAGAUCUAGCUGGUUUCCAGUGGCGGACGGGUGAGUAAACGCGUGGGUAACCUGCCUUAUACAGGGGGAGUAACAACCAGAAAUGGUUGCUAAUACCGCAUAAGCGCACGGAACCGCAUGGUUCUGUGUGAAAAACUCCGGUGGUAUAAGAUGGACCCGCGUUGGAUUAGCUUGUUGGUGAGGUAACGGCUCACCAAGGCGACGAUCCAUAGCCGGCCUGAGAGGUGAACGGCCACAUUGGGACUGAGGCACGGCCCAGACUCCUACGGGAGGCAGCAGUGGGGAAUAUUGCACAAUGGGGGAAACCCUGAUGCAGCGACGCCGCGUGAAGGAAGAAGUAAUCUCGGUAUGUAAAACUUCUAUCAGCAGGGAAGAUAGUGACGGUACCCUGACUAAGAAGCCCCGGCUAACUACGUGCCAAGCCGCCGCGGUAAU
rnacentral:rRNA from 1 species